CCUACGGGAGGCAGCAGUGAGGAAUAUUGGUCAAUGGGCGCGAGCCUGAACCAGCCAAGCAGCGUGAAGGAUGACUGUCCUACGGGUUGUAAACUUCUUUUAUAAAGGAAUAAAGUGAGGCACGUGUCCCUUUUUGAUUGUACUUUAUGAAUAAGGAUCGGCUAACUUCGUGCCAGCAGCCGGGGUAAUACGGAGGAUGCGAGCGUUAUCCGGAUUUAUUGGGUUUAAAGGGAGCGUAGAUGGGUUGAUAAGUCAGUUGUGAAAGUUUGCGGCUCAACCGUAAAAUUGCAUUUGAUACUGGCGGUCUUGAGUAGAGUAGAGGUGAGCGGAAUGCGUGGUGUAGCGGUGAAAUGCUUAGAUAUCACGAAGAACUCCGAUUGCGAAGGCAGCUUACUGGUCUGCCACUGACGUUGAGGCUCGAAAGUGUGGGUAUCGAACAGGAUUAGAUACCCUUGUAGUC
rnacentral:rRNA from 1 species